GUUUAGACCUUCAAUCGGGGUACACCGGGUACAUCCCGUCGACCUUGAGCUACCGGAUUCGAAGCUCGAGGCAUUUUGAAGAUUCUUGUGAACGCGCCACAGGUUUUGGUGUACCCGGGGCAGCAGGCUGAGCAGAUGGCUACACUCACGUCCUACUGGGGAGGUUUUGGGUUUUGUUUUGUUCUUGUAGUGCCGGCGCGUCGGGUUUUUGGUUUUACUGAUGCCUUGUUUUUUAUUAGGCAUCGAUGUUGUGAUUUUGGGGCAUUUUUGUCAAAUGUACAAUUGAAUUGAAAUGCUAUAUAAUGGAAAGCUUGCCCCAUUGUUUUGAAUUGUUUGGCUCAUUCCUUUUGACUAUACUAUUAUGUAGUCACACCUCGAUGUUGGAUGUUAGAAAAAAAAAAAUGUUUGAGUGUCAAAAAGGUCGGAGUGUGACAGUUUUGGUAUCAGAGCCAUGGCAAACCCCACUAUGGAUGUGAGUUAAAGCCUAUUUGUGAAGCCGUGUUGCCCAGGUACGCAUUCAUUUGAUUAGAUUGUUAUUGUGGUUAUGCUUUUUCAUGUAUAAGUCAAAAUGUGAUCUAUGUGUUGAACUUCGUGCUAAUGCACGUUGUGAUUUGAUUUGUGAGAUUAGUCAUAGACUGGAUUUGAGAUUAAGGUUCUUGUUUGUACAGAUGGAAUAUCAUCGUAAGGGUAAGAAGCGAGCUGGGCCGUCCACAGAGGCACAGAGAGAGAGCCUAGUCCGGCCCAUUCUGAUGCGCAUACCCCACGCGACGACAGUACGUCAGGGCACCAGUAUGCCCAAUUGGGUGGGGGUGCUCAAACCCCACUGAGGCAGACUCCACCUGUGGAUCAACAGUCUAUUUUGCUGACCACGUUGCAAACACUGACCUCCCUUGUGCAGUCCAUGGUCAGUAACCAGAGGAGUAAUGCAUCUCCUUCAGGAGACACCACUGCGCCACUUAAGGAGAAGGCAUCAGCGGUGUCGUUUCAACAGUUCAUGGCGAUGCAGCCGCCUAUCUUUUCAGGAGGGUGCAGUCACGAUAAGGCAAAGCAGUGGAUUG